rnacentral:lncRNA from 1 species
AUUUUUUUUUUUGAGGUAAAAUUUAUGUAACAGUGAUAUCCAAAUCUUAAGAGUACCGUUAGCUAAGUUUUGACUAACACAAAAGCCUGGGUUACCCAAACCCCUGUUAAGGUAUAGAAAAUUUCCAUAGAGAAUUUCUUUGGUUGUUAGUUUUUCCACAACCAGAGAGUAUAAACUAAAUUCUAGACUUUUCCAGGUCUGAGUAAACUAUAGGGAGGAAAUUGCUUAUUAUCGUAUAAGGGAUUUUAGGUGAAUUUUAUUUUAUAGGUGCAGAAACACAUCUCAGAUUAAGGUCUGCAUCUGUGCUUUUUGCUGUUUCAUUUUGACCUCAGUGACAUUACAAGUAAGCAGAAACACUCAGAAGGGAAAUGGUCCGUGCCUGUGAGUUAAGAGCAGGAACCAGAUCUAUUUUUGGAUAUGUAUCUCAACUCCCUGGAAUGCUUUAUACCUUUGGCACUCAAUAAAUGUUUGUUGUUGCCAGACUAUCUGCUACAAAAAGUUACUGGGUCUAUUUUAGGGCUGUUUCUUGUUCACUUAGAAAAUAAUCAUGGGAUCACAGAAGUCAAAGCCAUGGAGAGCAUCACACAGCUUUCUCAGCUGUUCCUCAGUUGUUACUUGAGGUAGGGUUAAAAGUAGAGGAUUUGGUACUGAAAGCUUCUCGAGAGCAUAGAGGUGAAGAAAGAAGGAAGGGCAGCUAAAUUCAAACAGAACAGUGUGGAGGUCUUGGCGGUAGAGACCUGCGUCUGAGUUCUCUUACGCUUCCUGCUGGAGUUCAGACCCAGUGCAUGACCUAUCCAGGGCCUGCAGGUGCACGCAGACAAGCAGUUCCUGCUCAUUGAAGGUGUUUAUAUGGAAAAGUCCUGAUACAUGCUCAUAGGAAGGAAUGUAUAGCAAAACAGUGGCGUGGCAUUUUAUCUAAGUUACAGUCAAGAAAUUUGGGUAUAUUUUUAAAUGCUAUACCAAGUUUCAACACCCCAAUUGCCCAUUGAAGCCCAUUGCAAACCAUUGCUUGCCAUUCUUUGUUUAUGAGUAUAGUGCUCACUUCAUUGACUUCAAGUCAAAUAUGCAGAAUGAAAUCUGUCUCUGAAUUGCCAGCUUGGUCACAAAUUUUUUUAUUCCCAGAUGGAAAUUUUCUCUAGAAGAAAUAAUAACAGUAGUAUUUUGG